AUUGAACGCUGGCGGCAGGCCUAACACAUGCAAGUCGAACGAGUGGCGGACGGGUGAGUAAUGUCUGGGAAUCUGCCCGAUGGAGGGGGAUAACUACUGGAAACGGUAGCUAAUACCGCAUACCAUCAGAUGUGCCCAGAUGGGAUUAGCUAGUAGGUAGGGUAACGGCUCACCUAGGCGACGAUCCCUAGCUGGUCUGAGAGGAGGACCAGCCACACUGGAACUGAGACACGGUCCAGACUCCUACGGGAGGCAGCAGUGGGGAAUAUUGCACAAUGGGCGCAAGCCUGAUGCAGCCAUGCCGCGUGUAUGAAGAAGGCCUUCGGGUUGUAAAGUACUUUCAGCGGGGAGGCGUUACCGGCAGAAGAAGCACCGGCUAACUCCGUGCCAGCAGCCGCGGUAAUAC
rnacentral:rRNA from 1 species